GGGUUGUGAGGUUAAGCGACUAAGCGUACACGGUGGAUGCCCUGGCAGUCAGAGGCGAUGAAGGACGUGCUAAUCUGCGAUAAGCGUCGGUAAGGUGAUAUGAACCGUUAUAACCGGCGAUUUCCGAAUGGGGAAACCCAGUGUGAUUCGUCACACUAUCAUUAACUGAAUCCAUAGGUUAAUGAGGCGAACCGGGGGAACUGAAACAUCUAAGUACCCCGAGGAAAAGAAAUCAACCGAGAUUCCCCCAGUAGCGGCGAGCGAACGGGGAGCAGCCCAGAGUCUGAAUCAGUGUGUGUGUUAGUGGAAGCGUCUGGAAAGGCGCGCGAUACAGGGUGACAGCCCCGUACACAAAAAUGCACAUAUUGUGAGCUCGAUGAGUAGGGCGGGACACGUGGUAUCCUGUCUGAAUAUGGGGGGACCAUCCUCCAAGGCUAAAUACUCCUGACUGACCGAUAGUGAACCAGUACCGUGAGGGAAAGGCGAAAAGAACCCCGGCGAGGGGAGUGAAAAAGAACCUGAAACCGUGUACGUACAAGCAGUGGGAGCACGCUUAGGCGUGUGACUGCGUACCUUUUGUAUAAUGGGUCAGCGACUUAUAUUCUGUAGCAAGGUUAACCGAAUAGGGGAGCCGAAGGGAAACCGAGUCUUAACUGGGCGUUAAGUUGCAGGGUAUAGACCCGAAACCCGGUGAUCUAGCCAUGGGCAGGUUGAAGGUUGGGUAACACUAACUGGAGGACCGAACCGACUAAUGUUGAAAAAUUAGCGGAUGACUUGUGGCUGGGGGUGAAAGGCCAAUCAAACCGGGAGAUAGCUGGUUCUCCCCGAAAGCUAUUUAGGUAGCGCCUCGUGAAUUCAUCUCCGGGGGUAGAGCACUGUUUCGGCAAGGGGGUCAUCCCGACUUACCAACCCGAUGCAAACUGCGAAUACCGGAGAAUGUUAUCACGGGAGACACACGGCGGGUGCUAACGUCCGUCGUGAAGAGGGAAACAACCCAGACCGCCAGCUAAGGUCCCAAAGUCAUGGUUAAGUGGGAAACGAUGUGGGAAGGCCCAGACAGCCAGGAUGUUGGCUUAGAAGCAGCCAUCAUUUAAAGAAAGCGUAAUAGCUCACUGGUCGAGUCGGCCUGCGCGGAAGAUGUAACGGGGCUAAACCAUGCACCGAAGCUGCGGCAGCGACACUAUGUGUUGUUGGGUAGGGGAGCGUUCUGUAAGCCUGUGAAGGUGUGCUGUGAGGCAUGCUGGAGGUAUCAGAAGUGCGAAUGCUGACAUAAGUAACGAUAAAGCGGGUGAAAAGCCCGCUCGCCGGAAGACCAAGGGUUCCUGUCCAACGUUAAUCGGGGCAGGGUGAGUCGACCCCUAAGGCGAGGCCGAAAGGCGUAGUCGAUGGGAAACAGGUUAAUAUUCCUGUACUUGGUGUUACUGCGAAGGGGGGACGGAGAAGGCUAUGUUGGCCGGGCGACGGUUGUCCCGGUUUAAGCGUGUAGGCUGGUUUUCCAGGCAAAUCCGGAAAAUCAAGGCUGAGGCGUGAUGACGAGGCACUACGGUGCUGAAGCAACAAAUGCCCUGCUUCCAGGAAAAGCCUCUAAGCAUCAGGUAACAUCAAAUCGUACCCCAAACCGACACAGGUGGUCAGGUAGAGAAUACCAAGGCGCUUGAGAGAACUCGGGUGAAGGAACUAGGCAAAAUGGUGCCGUAACUUCGGGAGAAGGCACGCUGAUAUGUAGGUGAAGCGACUUGCUCGUGGAGCUGAAAUCAGUCGAAGAUACCAGCUGGCUGCAACUGUUUAUUAAAAACACAGCACUGUGCAAACACGAAAGUGGACGUAUACGGUGUGACGCCUGCCCGGUGCCGGAAGGUUAAUUGAUGGGGUUAGCGCAAGCGAAGCUCUUGAUCGAAGCCCCGGUAAACGGCGGCCGUAACUAUAACGGUCCUAAGGUAGCGAAAUUCCUUGUCGGGUAAGUUCCGACCUGCACGAAUGGCGUAAUGAUGGCCAGGCUGUCUCCACCCGAGACUCAGUGAAAUUGAACUCGCUGUGAAGAUGCAGUGUACCCGCGGCAAGACGGAAAGACCCCGUGAACCUUUACUAUAGCUUGACACUGAACAUUGAGCCUUGAUGUGUAGGAUAGGUGGGAGGCUUUGAAGUGUGGACGCCAGUCUGCAUGGAGCCGACCUUGAAAUACCACCCUUUAAUGUUUGAUGUUCUAACGUGGACCCGUAAUCCGGGUUGCGGACAGUGUCUGGUGGGUAGUUUGACUGGGGCGGUCUCCUCCUAAAGAGUAACGGAGGAGCACGAAGGUUGGCUAAUCCUGGUCGGACAUCAGGAGGUUAGUGCAAUGGCAUAAGCCAGCUUGACUGCGAGCGUGACGGCGCGAGCAGGUGCGAAAGCAGGUCAUAGUGAUCCGGUGGUUCUGAAUGGAAGGGCCAUCGCUCAACGGAUAAAAGGUACUCCGGGGAUAACAGGCUGAUACCGCCCAAGAGUUCAUAUCGACGGCGGUGUUUGGCACCUCGAUGUCGGCUCAUCACAUCCUGGGGCUGAAGUAGGUCCCAAGGGUAUGGCUGUUCGCCAUUUAAAGUGGUACGCGAGCUGGGUUUAGAACGUCGUGAGACAGUUCGGUCCCUAUCUGCCGUGGGCGCUGGAGAAUUGAGGGGGGCUGCUCCUAGUACGAGAGGACCGGAGUGGACGCAUCACUGGUGUUCGGGUUGUCAUGCCAAUGGCACUGCCCGGUAGCUAAAUGCGGAAGAGAUAAGUGCUGAAAGCAUCUAAGCACGAAACUUGCCCCGAGAUGAGUUCUCCCUGACUCCUUGAGAGUCCUGAAGGAACGUUGAAGACGACGACGUUGAUAGGCCGGGUGUGUAAGCGCAGCGAUGCGUUGAGCUAACCGGUACUAAUGAACCGUGAGGCUUAACCUUACAACGCCGAAGGUGUUU
rnacentral:rRNA from 1 species